AUGGUCGGGAUAGCUCAGCUGGUAGAGCAU
rnacentral:tRNA from 1 species